CAGCAGCCGCGGGAAUACGUAGGUCCCGAGCGUUGUCCGGAUUUAUGGGGCGUAAAGGGAGCGCAGGCGGUUUAGUAAGUCUGAAGUUAAAGGCAUUGGCUCAACCAAUGUAUGCUUUGGAAACUGUUAGACUUGAGUGCAGAAGGGGAGAGUGGAAUUCCAUGUGUAGCGGUGAAAUGCGUAGAUAUAUGGAGGAACACCGGUGGCGAAAGCGGCUCUCUGGUCUGUCACUGACGCUGAGGAGCGAAAGCGUGGGGAGCGAACAGGAUUAGAUACCCCCGUAGUCCCUGUCUCUUAUACA
rnacentral:rRNA from 1 species